CUGAAUCUCCCAAUCCCUUCCCUAUUUUCCCCAAUUUCUGCUUAAAUCCGAUUUCUCCAGCUGGGUUCGAUCGGUUGGGUGUUUUAGAGGCGGUCGAGGUGGAGUCCGAUGAUGUGAGGACGAUUUGGGCUGACAGUGUGAAGAAGAAGAGGAAGAAGAAGAUGAACAAGCAUAAGUUAAAGAAGCUAAGGAAGAGUCUUUGCCGCAAGUCCAGAGCUUGAUGUGUUAGAUUGGUUGGAUGGUGCUCCCAGAAGACAAACUGUCAACUAGAUGGGUAAAUGUCCUUGCCAUGCCAUUUUCUUAAAAUGGUUACUGUUUAGUAUAGUAGCUAGUGAUAGGUGUUGUGCAAUGAGAUAACUAAAGAAAUGAAGAUUUCAAAAUUCGAAAUUGUGAUCCCUUGAUCAAGUAGUUGAAUGGGAAUCCCUUUGAUUCUAAGUGAAGCUGAAUGUGUACUGCCUGUGUAACCGGUGACUGAAAUAUAAUUUGCUUGUUAUAU
rnacentral:sRNA from 1 species